rnacentral:rRNA from 1 species
GACGAACGCUGGCGGCGUGCUUAACACAUGCAAGUCGAACGGAAAGGCCCUGCUUUUGUGGGGUGCUCUAGUGGCGAACGGGUGAGUAACACGUGAGUACCCUGCCCUUGACUGUGGGAUAACUUCAUGAAACUGGGUCUAAUACCGGAUAAGAGCUCCUGCUUCAUGGUGGGGGUUGGAAAGUUUCGGCGGUUGGGGAUGGACUCGCGGCUUAUCAGCUUGUUGGUUGGGUAGUGGCUUACCAAGGCUUUGACGGGUAGCCGGCCUGAGAGGGUGACCGGCCACACUGGGAUUGAGAUACGGCACAGACUACUAUGGGAGGCAGCAGAGGGGAAUAUUGUACAAGGCGCGGAAGCCAGAUGUAACAACGCCGCGCGGGGGAUGAGGGGCUGGGGGUUGGAAUCCGAUGUCGUCUGUCACGAAGCGUGAGUGACGGUACCGGGUAAAGAAGCACCGGCUAACUCCGUG